rnacentral:tRNA from 1 species
GGAGGGGUGGCAGAGCGGACGAUUGCGACGGUCUUGAAAACCGUUGAGGCGCAAGCCUCCGGGGGUUCGAAUCCCCCUCCCUCCGCCA